CCCUUAGAUGCUCUGGGCCGCACGCGCGCUACACUGGUCGAUGCAACGAGUUUCUUUCCUUGGCCGACAGGCCUGGGCAAUCUUUGAACAUCGAUCGUGAUCGGGAUAGAUUCUUGUAAUUUUUGAUCUUAAACGAGGAAUUCCUAGUAAACGCAAGUCAUCAACUUGCAUUGAUUACGUCCCUGCCCUUUGUACACACCGCCCGUCGCACCUACCGAUUGAAUGGUCCGGUGAAGCCUCCGGAUUGGCGCGCACCUCGGUGCCGCCGAGAAGUUGGCUAAACCUUACCAUUUAGAGGAAGGUGAAGUCGUAACA
rnacentral:rRNA from 1 species